GUACCAGAGAGGGAGGGGGGCUGUCAAGGGAGGGGCACUGGCUCAGCCGGCGCUCCCGAGGCCCCGAGGCUGGUGGCCAAGGAGAACUGUGACCCUGCCUCACAGCACGUGUCCUCCGCUCCCCUCACCUCCCAACCAUCCCUGCGGCACCAUCCCUGGGCCGACAGGCGGGGAGGGAGGGAGACCAGCUGCACCCUGGAAGAGAGGGGACCCAGAGCAGGGCCCAGGGAAUGGCCAAAGGCAGUUCAAGCGACAGAACAAACGGGCCACCCCCACGGGUCUAAGACUGUGGUCCUACACUGUGACCUUGCUGCCCGCAGCUUCAUCAGGCCCUCCUGGUUUUGCCCUUCACCUGUUGAAGACUCGGGACCACGCGUCCCCGGAAAGAGAAUUAAGGACACACGUACCACCAGCCAAUCUGAUACUGCAGGUGCAGUCUCCUCUGAAGCCAAGAUCCACCUGUAAGCUCCACAAGCACCAGCAGGAAGCUGUCCUGCCUACAUCUGUCCCACAGGUUCCCAGGGCCUGGUUCUAGGAGGCAGACAUCUCAGCUCUGCCCUUGACCAUGAUCUGGGGCCGAGCUGAAGCAGAGGGUCCAGGUGGAGGCCCCCAGCGCCAGAGUAAUGAUCGCCCGGGGCCGGGUCUCCCGAGUCCUGUCUCCGCAGGCUUCGCACCAGGAGUGAGAGCUGUCCGGGUGCAGAAGCGCCGCUGUCUUCAUGUCCCUGGAUUCGUCACAAUUCCCCAGAGAAACAGAAGCCGGGCGGCCGUGGCUUCCCGGUGGAGCCUGCAAGUCAGCGUGGAGCUUCUAGGAAGAGCCUGACGUUCUGAUAACAGACUGGAGCUGCUUAGGGUCAGUAUUAGUAACUGACCUGUAUUUUCUCCACUCAAGACCGCACCUCAUCUCCAGCUUUGUAUUGUAUUUUAGCCUGAAGACACCUUGGCUGUCUCCCUUCUCAUCCUGUGACAGUGUCCUGUGAAGACAAAAGUUAUGGUGGCCACUGUCCAUGAAUCGGUGACUUUGCAGGGCUGCGCCUGGAGCAUGUGGACAUGAGGACAUUCCCAGGCUAGGAGCUGAACGGGAGCUGGAGCUGCCGGCCUACGCCAGAGCCAUGGCCACGCCAGGGAUCGAACCUGCGUCCCCAGGGAUGCUAGUCAGAUUCGUUUCUACUGAGCCACCACGGGAAGGGUUUGCCCUCUCCUGCCGGAGUCCUGGGAGUGGGCGAUGCUGCUCACUCUGUGACCAUGACAGAUGGUCUCCUGCGUGUGGGUUCCUCUCUUUGUAAAACUGCACUUGACUGCGACAGAUCCACGUGUGAUGGUUUGAAAAAUGAACAAGUCCCAGGUUUCAGGAGAGAAAGAUCUCCGUAUAACCAGUCUUUGUAAAGAGGAGACACAGGAAAGCUGUGGGCCAGACGCUAAGUGUAGGCAGGAAGGGCCGGGGCCCCAAAUGGAGAGAGUGCGAGUGCUGGGGUCACCUUCAGCAUGGCCCCGGGACUCACGAGGAUGGGGUUCCCACUCUCACUCGGCCUCCGACCGUGACACUGACAAGUGAACUCAAUCCUCAAAACAAGCCCCCCCCACCCCCGUACAGAUGGGGAGACUGAGGCACAGAGACGUUAACGUGCGGAGGACUCAAGAUUUCUCAGCCCUCGGCGAACCCAGUAUUAAUGUCAGUUCUUCAAAAACUGGGAGCGCCCAUUGUGGCCUAGCAGGUUAAGAACCCAGCAUAGUGUCGUGGGUUAAGGAUCCGGCGUUGCUGUGAGCUACGAUCCAAGUCGCAGAUGUGGCUUGGAUCCCGAGUGGCUGUGACUGUGGUGUAGGCCAGUAGCUAAAGCUCAGAUUCAACCCUGAGCCUGGAAACUUCAUAUGCUGCAGCUGCGGUCAUACACAGAAAAACAACGGCAACAACAGCAAAAAAAAAAACCAAACAAACAAAAAAAAAACCCUGGCAGCUGGCUAAGGGCUGCAUAGGAGAUUUAGGAGAGGAAGCUUAUUAACUACUAGCAACAGUAGCAAGGCUGCGGAAGGCAAGCUUCGUGCACAGAGGUCCACAGGUUUCCUAUCUACCAGCACCACCUGGACACUGGGACUCUGAGCAUCCCCCCAGAUGACCCCUAUGUGCAGCCCGCACUGCCGCACGGCCCCAGGGCACCCCUUACUUACCAACCUCGGGCAGCUCUGAAUGAUCAUAAUACCAAGUGUGCAUCAGGCCAAGAAAAGCCAGCUCUCUGGCUGGGUUGCCAUCCUACUCAUGAUAAAAUGGUACUGCAGUUGCGUGUUUU
rnacentral:lncRNA from 1 species